CGGCGUGUGGGAAGAUGCACUUAGGGGAAGGGCUGCAGGCGGGGCCUGAGUGAAUCCUUGGAGGUAGCAGGAUCCUAUGGAUCUAGAUGGGCCUGGCACGCCGCGGUCUGCCAGCAGGCGGAUCGUCGCGAGCUGGCGGGAGACUGGUUUGGGUGACGUUCAAUGAGAUUUGGCGGGUUCUGAGGGAGGGUGGACUUACAGGAAGGUAGGGAGAGGGAGUUAAGUGUUUAUAAUUAGUAAUUUGAAGUGUGUGUGUGUGUGCGCGCGCGCGUUGGUACUGAACUUAUAGGCAGUUGUGAGCUACCAUGAUGUGGGUGCUGAUAAUGGAGUUUACAUUCUCUGCAAGUUUUAUGUGUUUUUAACUGAUGAGCCAUUUCUGUAUUCCCCCCUCCUUACUCUUACAUUUGUUUUCCUAUUUUAUGUGUUUUGUCUGCAUGUUUAUGGACUACAUGCGUGCAUUGCCCACAAAGGCCAGAAGAAGUUGUGGGAUUCCCUGGAACUGGAGCAACCAACAGUUUGUGUGCACCAUGUGGGUAAUGGGAAUCGAACCUGGGUCCUCUAUAAGACUGGCCAGUGCUCUUAACUACUGAGGUGCAUUUCUUUCGGAAUUGAUUCACAUAACUAUUAUGCUAUACUGUUUGAAGUAUUUAUUAGAAAAACAUCAGAAAGAGAUUUGGACCACUUUCAUUUACAUGAAGAAAUAUCUUAGGGGUAUCUUUGAGUAUCUUCUGACACUAGAAGAUCCUGUAAACUCUACAGACUUCAACAGAAUUGAAGAACCUGGACAGAGCAGAGUUACCAACAAGAGAGCCCAGGGAUAGCAUUAACAUGGUGGUUACUCAAGACCUAACUCAGCCAGGGAGACAUACCAAGGCCUAUGAGGUGAAGGGAAAAGAAGGGUGACCCAAAGGGCAGGAAUUUUUUAUCCUGAACUUUUGAGCCUUAUAGAAAAACAUAAUUUGUUGGGCAUGUUUUCUGACCCUCAUACAGUUUUUACAACCAUUUGAAGAUAUAGUUCUAGCUCUAGUAGGCUCUACAGGAAGGUAUAUCAAACUUUUUAACAGAACACUUUAUUAUUUUAAAUAUAUGAGUAUUUCACCUGCAUAGGCGCACAGUACCCACAGAGACUAGAAGAGGGUGGCAGAUCUCCUGAGACUGGAGUUAAUGCUUGUGAGCUGCCAUGUGGAUGCUGGAAAUCAAACCCAGGUCCUUUGGAAGGCAGGCAGGUGCUCUUAAUCAUGGAAGCAUCUCUUCAGCUCCUACCCUAGUUCUUUAAUUUUGUUUUAAAUUUUUGAGGUAGGGUUUUGCUAAGUUACUUGGGCUGGCCUUGGACUAGUAACCAUUCUGUGUCAGCCUUCUGGGAUUAGAGGUAUGUGCUAGCAUGUCUAGCAUCUUUCUAUUUCUUUGGUUUUCCUUCUAAUUAAUUAAAAAAUACAUUAUCUUCUAAAUCUUUUAUUGUACAUCAUGAAUGCUAUUUCAGUUUUUGUUUAAAUAAGCUUAAAUGUAAACAUCACUAUAAGUACACCACUAUUUCUAUUGUGCAGUUUCAGUGAUACAAUAUCUUAUCACUUACAGAGUAUUAGUAAUAGUUUAAUUUAAAAAAAAUCAUUUAUUGUUGUUUUUUGUCUCACCCCCCUCCCCUCCCCCAAUCUCUGGAGCUGAGGACCAAACCCAGGGCCUUGUGCUUGCUAAGCAAAUGCUCUACCGCUGAGCUAAAUCUCCAACCCCUAGUUUAAUUUUGUUUUAGAAAGACUCUUACUUAAUGUACUUGCUGUGUGUGAUGGUUUGUAUAUUCUUGGACCAGGGAGUGGCAACAUUUGGAGGUGUGGCCUUGUUGGAAUAGGUGUGACCUGGUUGGAGUAGGUGUGUCACUGUGGGUGUGGGUAUGAGACCCUCACCCUAGUUGCCUGGAAGUCAGUCUUCCACUAGCAGCCUUUGGAUGAAGACAUAGAACUCUCAGCUCUUCCUGUGCCAUGCCUGCCUGGAUACUGCCAUGCUCCCACCGUGAUGGUAAUGGACUGAACCUCUGAACCUGUAAGCCAGCCCCAAUUAAAUGUUGUUUUUUAUAAGA
rnacentral:lncRNA from 1 species